rnacentral:tRNA from 1 species
GGGUUCGUAGCUCAGCCAGGUAGAGCGUUUGGCUCUUAAUUAAAAUGUCGUGGGUCCGAAUCCCACCGAACCCG